UGGGGAAUAUUGGACAAUGGGCGCAAGCCUGAUCCAGCGACGCCGCGUGUGUGAAGAAGGCCUGCGGGUUGUAAAGCACUUUCGAUGGGAACGAAAUGUGCCGGGUUAAUACCCCGGUAAGCUGACGUUACUCAAUGAAGAAGCACCGGCUAACUCUGUGCCAGCAGCCGCGGUAAUACAGAGGGUGCGAGCGUUAAUCGGAAUUACUGGGCGUAAAGUGCGCGUAGGCGGUUACGUAAGUUGGAUGUGAAAUCCCCGGGCUCAACCUGGGAAUUGCAUUCAAAACUGCGUGGCUAGAGUGUGGGAGAGGAAGGUAGAAUUCCAGGUGUAGCGGUGAAAUGCGUAGAUAUCUGGAGGAAUACCGAUGGCGAAGGCAAUCCCCUGGACCUGUACUGACGCUCAUGCACGAAAGCGUGGGGAGCAAACAGGGUUAGAUACCCACGUAGUCCCUGAGCGGGCUGGCAAGGCGCAU
rnacentral:rRNA from 1 species